GAUGAAUAACGUAGCGAAAUGCGAUAAGUAGUGUGAAUUGCAGAAUUCCGUGAAUCAUCUAAUCUUUGAACGCACAUUGCGCCUUCUGGUAUUCCGGAAGGCAUGCCUGUUCGAGAGUCAUUAACAACCGUUUCGAUCCCUUUCUUUCAGAAAUUACAAAGAGGAAAAGGGUUUGGUUAUGGUGGAGGAGGGAAAGGGAGCGUUUAGCCUGUAAAAAAAGAGGCUGUGUUCCGCCUCCCCCCCAAAAUUGUACAGGCGGUCGUGUGCGCCCACGCAUCGAGGUGUUGUAAAAGCUGCCACGGCACUUUUCACCUGUGCAGUGCGAGAUUGGCCAGCCGGUUUAAAAACCCCUCCAAACAAUCAAAGGUUGACCUCGGAUCAGGUAGGGAUACCCGCUGAACUUAAGCAUAUCAAUAAGCGGAGGA
rnacentral:misc_RNA from 1 species